rnacentral:rRNA from 1 species
UGGAGAGUUUGAUCCUGGCUCAGAUUGAACGCUGGCGGCAGGCCUAACACAUGCAAGUCGAGCGGUAGCACAGGGGAGCUUGCUCMCCGGGUGACGAGCGGCGGACGGGUGAGUAAUGUCUGGGAAACUGCCCGAUGGAGGGGGAUAACUACUGGAAACGGUGGCUAAUACCGCAUAACGUCUUCGGACCAAAGUGGGGGACCUUCGGGCCUCACACCAUCGGAUGUGCCCAGAUGGGAUUAGCUAGUAGGUGGGGUAAUGGCUCACCUAGGCGACGAUCCCUAGCUGGUCUGAGAGGAUGACCAGCCACACUGGAACUGAGACACGGUCCAGACUCCUACGGGAGGCAGCAGUGGGGAAUAUUGCACAAUGGGCGCAAGCCUGAUGCAGCCAUGCCGCGUGUGUGAAGAAGGCCUUCGGGUUGUAAAGCACUUUCAGCGAGGAGGAAGGGUUCAGUGUUAAUAGCACUGUUCAUUGACGUUACUCGCAGAAGAAGCACCGGCUAACUCCGUGCCAGCAGCCGCGGUA